CUGCCGCUCAUGUCUGCGGGUUGUCAACGAGCUCAUGUAAUGAUGAUGAUGAUGACGACGACUCCAAAGUGCUGACAGAAACAAGCCGGCUAAUCAGGCGGGGAGCCCGACGCCCGCCCCCGUGAAGCUCGCCGACGACCGCAGCCUCCGCCGAGACCUCGCCAGCAGGUGACUCGUAGAAAGAGGCGUAAUGGGAGGAAAUCAAGAACGUAAACAUGACUCCUCUUGUUCUCCUCCACCCUUUGAUUCCACCCAAGAGGAAAUACGCUACAAGAGAGCUCUUCACAAUGCCUUUGGCCAUCUCCUUGCCAGUGGUCUUGAGGAUGGCCUUCAGGCCCAGAUUGUCCACAUUAUACGCCGUCUCACCUACGUUGGUCACGGAGGUGGAAAACGCUGUUAGGCAAGGGAAGACAACUUGAUGUGCCUCACAACAACACUUACUGUACGUUGAUGGACAUAUAUCGAGACUAAGUGCAUUCUACUUUGAUGAUGGAAGGCUCGACUAAUGCUCCACCUUUGUAAAUAUUUUUCUAAUAACUUUAUAAAUUGUGAUUUAUUGACCUAUUUUGCACAUGCACCAAUCAUCCAUCCAUCCAUCCAUCAUCUUCCGCUUGCUUCGAGGUCGCGUCGCAGGGGCAGCAGCUUUAACAAGAUAGCCCAGACUUUCCUUUCCCCAGCCACUUCAACCAGCUCCUCCGACAGGAUCCCAAGGCGUUCCCAGGCCAGCCGAGAGACAGUCUCUCCAGCAUGUCCUGGGUCAUCCCCGGGGCCUCCCGCCGGUGUGACGUGCCUGGAACACCUCUCCGGGGAGGCGUCCAGGAGGCAUCCGAACCAGAUGCCCGAGCCACCUCAGCUGGCUCCUCUGAAAGCUUAAGAGUAGCGGCUCGACGCAGAGUCCCUCCCAGAUGACCGAGCUUCUCACCCUACCUCUAAGGGAGAAUCCGGACACCCUGCGGAGGAAACUAAUUUCAGCCGCUUAUA